rnacentral:rRNA from 1 species
UACGUAGGGGGCAAGCGUUGUCCGGAAUCAUUGGGCGUAAAGCGCGUGUAGGCGGCCAGGUAAGUCCGUUCUGAAAGCCCGGGGCUCAACCCCGGGAGGCGGAUGGAUACUGCUUGGCUCGAGUCCGGAAGAGGCGAGUGGAAUUCCCGGUGUAGCGGUGAAAUGCGCAGAUAUCGGGAGGAACACCAAUGGCGAAGACAGCUCGCUGGGACGGUACUGACGCUGAGACGCGAAAGCGUGGGGAGCAAACAGG